rnacentral:rRNA from 1 species
AGAGUUUGAUCCUGGCUCAGAGCGAACGUUAGCGGCAGGCUUAACACAUGCAAGUCGAGCGACAAAGGGGCUUCGGCCCUGAGUAGAGCGGCGGACGGGUGCGUAACACGUGGAUAAUCUGCCUCGUGGCGGGGGAUAACAGUCCGAAAGGACUGCUAAUACCGCAUGUCAGGUCGGAAACCCCGGUUUCUGACGAAAAAGAGGGCGCCCGCAAGGGGCUCUCACCACGAGAUGAGUCCGCGGCCCAUCAGCUAGUUGGCGGUGUAAUAGACCACCAAGGCUAAGACGGGUAGCUGGUCUGAGAGGAUGACCAGCCACACUGGGACUGAGACACGGCCCAGACUCCUACGGGAGGCAGCAGUGGGGAAUAUUGGACAAUGGGCGAAAGCCUGAUCCAGCCAUGCCGCGUGAGUGAUGAAGGUCUUCGGAUCGUAAAGCUCUGUGGGAAGGGACGAAAAAGC